rnacentral:rRNA from 1 species
UCAAGUUAUUAAGGGUGCAGGGCGGAUGCCUUGGCACUAGGAGCCGAUGAAGGACGUGAUAAGCUGCGAUAAGCUUCGGGGAGUUGCACGUAAACUUUGAUCCGAAGAUUUCCGAAUGAGGAAACUUCACUUAGAGUAAUGUCUAAGUAUCAUUAAGUGAAUACAUAGCUUAAUGAGGGGAACUCAGGGAACUGAAACAUCUAAGUACCUGAAGGAAGAGAAAGAAAUUCGAUUCCGUAAGUAGCGGCGAGCGAACGCGGAUUAGCCCAAACCAAUAAAGUUUUCUUUAUUGGGGUUGCGGACAUAUCAUAACGAAGAGGUAUCGUAAUUGAAGAGGUUUGGAAAGACCCACCACAGAAGGUAAUAGUCCUGUAUGUUAAACGAGAAGACUUUAGAUAUGAUCCAGAGUACCACGGGACACGUGAAACCCUGUGGGAAGCAGGAGGGACCACCCUCCAAGGCUAAAUACUACCUAGUGACCGAUAGCGUAUAGUACCGUGAGGGAAAGGUGAAAAGAACCCCGGGAGGGGAGUGAAAUAGAACCUGAAACCCUGCACUUACAAGCUGUGGAAGCACAUUUCUUGUGUGACCGCGUACUUUUUGUAGAACGGGCCAACGAGUUACGUUAAGUAGCAAGGUUAAGCACUUAAGGUGCGGAGCCGUAGCGAAAGCGAGUUUUAACUGAGCGUUCAGUUACUUGACGUAGACCCGAAACCGGGCGACCUACCCAUGAGCAGGAUGAAGCGAAAGUAAAAUUUCGUGGAGGUCCGAACCCACGAGCGUUGAAAAGCUCGGGGAUGACUUGUGGGUAGCGGUGAAAUUCCAAUCGAGCCCGGAGAUAGCUGGUUCUCCCCGAAAUAGCUUUAGGGCUAGCCUCAAGGUGAGAGAUACGGAGGUAGAGCACUGAAUGUCCUAGGGGGUAUUGCACCUACCGAAGACUAUCAAACUCCGAAUGCCGUCAUCUUAUACUUGGGAGUCAGACUGUGGGUGAUAAGAUUCAUAGUCGAAAGGGCAACAGCCCAGAUCGUCAGCUAAGGUCCCUAAAUGUAAGUUAAGUGGUAAAGGAUGUGGGAUUGCACAGACAACCAGGAUGUUGGCUUAGAAGCAGCCACUCAUUCAAAGAGUGCGUAAUAGCUCACUGGUCGAGUGAUCCUGCGCCGAAGAUUUCCGGGGCUAAAACUUACUACCGAAGCUACGGCAUCAGUAAUGAUGGGUAGGGGAGCUUCCCAUACGGGUUGAAGCAUGACCGUAAGGACAUGUGGACAGUAUGGGAGUGAGAAUGUUGGCAUGAGUAGCGAGAUGUGGGUGAGAAUCCCACAGGCCGUAAACCCAAGGUUUCCAGGGGAAGGUUCGUCCGCCCUGGGUUAGUCGGGACCUAAGCUGAGGCCGAAAGGCGUAGGUGAUGGACAACAGGUUGAUAUUCCUGUACUACCGAUAACCGUUUGAGAGAAGGGAUGACACAGUAGGAUAAGCUAAGCACACUGUUGGUUAUGUGUGCCCAAGCAUUGAGGCAGUCAAAGUAGGCAAAUCCGCUUUGAUAAUGCUGGGAUGUGAUGGGGAGCGAAAUUUAGUAGCGAAGUAGCUGAUUUCACACUGUCAAGAAAAGUCUCUAUCGAGGUUAAAGGUACCCGUACCGCAAACCGACACAGGUGGGUGAGGAGAGUAUCCUAAGGCCAGCGAGAGAACUGUUGUUAAGGAACUCGGCAAAAUGACCCCGUAACUUAGGGAUAAGGGGUGCCACCAUCAGGUGGCCGCAGAGAAUAGGCCCAAGCGACUGUUUACCAAAAACAUAGGUUUCUGCUAAGUCGCAAGACGAUGUAUAGGAGCUGACGCCUGCCCGGUGCUGGAAGGUUAAGGGGAUCUGUUAGAGCAAUCGAAGCAGUGAACUUAAGCCCCAGUAAACGGCGGCCGUAACUAUAACGGUCCUAAGGUAGCGAAAUUCCUUGUCGGGUAAGUUCCGACCCGCACGAAAGGCGUAACGAUUUGGGCACUGUCUCAACAACAGACUCGGUGAAAUUGUAAUUCCGGUGAAGAUGCCGGAUACCUGCGACAGGACGGAAAGACCCCAUGGAGCUUUACUGUAGCUUGACAUUGGGUCUUGGUACUACAUGUACAGGAUAGGUGGGAGGCUUUGAAACCAGGACGCCAGUUUUGGCGGAGCCAUCCUUGGGAUACCACCCUUGUAGUACUGGGACUCUAACCAUAGGCCAUGAAUCUGGUCUUGGGACACUGUCAGGUGGGCAGUUUGACUGGGGCGGUCGCCUCCCAAAAGGUAACGGAGGCGCUCAAAGGUUCUCUCAGUACGGUCGGAAAUCGUACGUAGAGUGUAAAGGCAAAAGAGAGCUUGAUUGCAAGACAUACAGGUCGAGCAAGGAUGAAAAUCGGACUUAGUGAUCCGGUGGUUCUGCGUGGAAGGGCCAUCGCUCAACGGAUAAAAGCUACCCUGGGGAUAACAGGCUUAUCUCCCCCAAGAGUCCACAUCGACGGGGAGGUUUGGCACCUCGAUGUCGGCUCAUCACAUCCUGGGGCUGUAGUAGGUCCCAAGGGUUGGGCUGUUCGCCCAUUAAAGUGGUACGCGAGCUGGGUUCAGAACGUCGUGAGACAGUUCGGUCCCUAUCCGUCGCAGGCGUAGGAAAUUUGAGAAGACCUGUCCUUAGUACGAGAGGACCGGGAUGGACGUACCUCUGGUGUACCAGUUGUCCUGCCAAGGGCAUGGCUGGGUAGCUAUGUACGGAAUGGAUAAGCGCUGAAAGCAUCUAAGCGCGAAGCCAACUUCAAGAUAAGAUUUCCCACCGCAAGGGUAAGACCCCAGAAAGACUAUCUGGUUGAUAGGUCGAAGGUGUAAGUGCAGCAAUGUAUUUAGCUUAUCGAUACUAAUAGGUCGAGGACUUGACCAA